GACCACCAUCUGCUAACAUUUAACAUCUGCAUACUCCAUACCAAAAUCUCACCACCAUCCACUCUCCAACCUCGCAGAAACCUCAACUCUCUCAAUCUCCAGCACCUCUCCACUAAACUCCAAACACUCCUUUUACCUAUCUCAAAUCACAACUGCCCUAACUCUGCAACCUCACUCUACAACUCCACUCUCUCCUCUCAACUUGACAUCAUGGCACUUCCUAUAGUUAAACGCAGCAAGCG
rnacentral:lncRNA from 1 species